rnacentral:tRNA from 1 species
GGACUGGUAGCUCAGUUGGAAGAGCACCACUGGAGGCCACAGGUUCAAUCCAUGUCUAGUCAA